rnacentral:rRNA from 1 species
GAAUGUUAUCACGGGAGACACACGGCGGGUGCUAACGUCCGUCGUGAAGAGGGAAACAACCCAGACCGCCAGCUAAGGUCCCAAAGUCAUGGUUAAGUGGGAAACGAUGUGGGAAGGCCCAGACAGCCAGGAUGUUGGCUUAGAAGCAGCCAUCAUUUAAAGAAAGCGUAAUAGCUCACUGGUCGAGUCGGCCUGCGCGGAAGAUGUAACGGGGCUAAACCAUGCACCGAAGCUGCGGCAGCGACACUGUGUGUUGUUGGGUAGGGGAGCGUUCUGUAAGCCUGCGAAGGUGGCCUGUGAGGGUUGCUGGAGGUAUCAGAAGUGCGAAUGCUGACAUAAGUAACGAUAAAGCGGGUGAAAAGCCCGCUCGCCGGAAGACCAAGGGUUCCUGUCCAACGUUAAUCGGGGCAGGGUGAGUCGACCCCUAAGGCGAGGCCGAAAGGCGUAGUCGAUGGGAAACGGGUUAAUAUUCCCGUACUUGGUGUUACUGCGAAGGGGGGACGGAGAAGGCUAUGUUGGCCGGGCGACGGUUGUCCCGGUUUAAGCGUGUAGGCUGGUUUUCCAGGCAAAUCCGGAAAAUCAAGGCUGAGGCGUGACGACGAGGCACUACGGUGCUGAAGCAACAAAUGCCCUGCUUCCAGGAAAAGCCUCUAAGCAUCAGGUAACAUCAAAUCGUACCCCAAACCGACACAGGUGGUCAGGUAGAGAAUACCAAGGCGCUUGAGAGAACUCGGGUGAAGGAACUAGGCAAAAUGGUGCCGUAACUUCGGGAGAAGGCACGCUGACACGUAGGUGAAGUGAUUUACUCAUGGAGCUGAAGUCAGUCGAAGAUACCAGCUGGCUGCAACUGUUUAUUAAAAACACAGCACUGUGCAAACACGAAAGUGGACGUAUACGGUGUGACGCCUGCCCGGUGCCGGAAGGUUAAUUGAUGGGGUCAGCGCAAGCGAAGCUCCUGAUCGAAGCCCCGGUAAACGGCGGCCGUAACUAUAACGGUCCUAAGGUAGCGAAAUUCCUUGUCGGGUAAGUUCCGACCUGCACGAAUGGCGUAAUGAUGGCCAGGCUGUCUCCACCCGAGACUCAGUGAAAUUGAACUCGCUGUGAAGAUGCAGUGUACCCGCGGCAAGACGGAAAGACCCCGUGAACCUUUACUAUAGCUUGACACUGAACAUUGAGCCUUGAUGUGUAG